AGUGAACGCUGGCGGUAGGCCUAACACAUGCAAGUCGAACGGCAGCACAGUAAGAGCUUGCUCUUACGGGUGGCGAGUGGCGGACGGGUGAGGAAUACAUCGUAAUCUACUUUUUCGUGGGGGAUAACGUAGGGGAACUUACGCUAAUACCGCAUACGACCUACGGGUGAAAGCAGGGGAUCUUCGGACCUUGCGCGAUUGAAUGAGCCGAUGUCGGAUUAGCUAGUUGGCGGGGUAAAGGCCCACCAAGGCGACGAUCCGUAGCUGGUCUGCGAGGAUGAUCAGCCACACUGGAACUGAGGCACGGUGCAGAGUCCUACGGGAGGCAGCAGUGGGGAAUAUUGGACGAUGGGCGCAAGCCUGAUCCAGCCAUACCGCGUGGGUGAAGAAGGCCUUCGGGUUGUAAAGCCCUUUUGUUGGGAAAGAAAAGCAGCAGGUUAAUACCCCGCUGUUCUGACGGUACCCAAAGAAUAAGCACCGGCUAAAUUCGUG
rnacentral:rRNA from 1 species